GUAAUGUACUAGUUUGACUCUGAAGUUAAAAGACGCAGCAUAAAAAGAUGUUGUGUUUAAAAUACAAAAUAAAAGGAUUGAAUAAAUAAUGAAGAAUAAAAGCAGGUUUUAGGAGAGUAAACUCUAUGUGACCUGUCUUCUUGAACUCUCUAUCAGCCUGCCCUUGGAGAAAUUAAUAUUAGCUGCUGGAAGGCCUCUUUGGUGGGAAGAACCCGGAAUUUUUUUAUCAGAAGGCUUAUAGUAUCGGGCCGGACUGCAAAAAUAGGGAGUUAGAACAGAUGGUCUUAGCACCUAAGAUAGUUAGUUGCCGGGCGGAACAAGCACGUAAGAUACAGGUGUAAGGAAAGUUCUAGGGAACAUUAAUCACUAUUAAACUUGGCAAGAAAAGAGAUGACAUGAGGGAAUAUAUUUUUGAAAGCCAAGUUCAUGUAAUCAAUUAUAAUCAUUAUAACUAUAACUGCUAUAUUAUGAUAUAACUAUUGGUGUUGCAUAUAUUCAAACACCACUCUUUUUAUAAUACACACAAUUAUUGGUGCUUCAUAUAUUUAAAACACCACUCCUUUUUAUAAUGCACCCAUAUUAAGUAGUGAAUCAAGGUUGCAGGGAUUUUGUGAACUCUGCUUCACCUAACUUUUCAGAUGAAGGAGGGGGGCCAAGAAUGAGUGGAUGAGAACAUGGGCUAGUGUUGAUUUGUUGGCAUAUGACUUUAAUUGAGUCUGAGGAGUUGGUUGAAUUCUUUAGAGAUUACUGUUUGCCAAGAGAUAAGGACUGUCAAUAUAGAUUGAUGACUGGAUCUAAUUGGGGUUUCCCAUUGCUUUCAAUGGGACGAAAAUUGUAUAAAAACCCUGGGCCGAUCACACUGAGACCACCACAAUCAAGCUGGGCAGAGCUAUGUGGUCCAUCCUUUGCAGAUCUCUACAGAACAGUCCUUCUCUUUUGUUCACGCUACUCUUCCUUAUAAUAGGAGGUAAGCAUAUUAAUGGUAUUAUUGUAUCUCGCAUUUAUUGGUUAUAUUGCUAUGAGGUUUUGAAACAAUGUUUUAGUAUUAAGAGUGUUAUAUUGAAUGUGCUAAAACAUAGCAGUGGGUGCUUGUAGGCUUUGUGCUUAACCAGCCUGAGGGCUGCACUGAAUACAUAUAAUUGUAUUAUGUUAUUGAAGUAUUAAAUGCUGAAGCUUGUAAUAAACUUAGGAUUGCUAAUUAUUGUUACAUGUUUUCGGGUUUUGGUAGUAUGCGCAAACUACUAAACCAAUAUUAAAGGCAUUUUAAUAAAACGAAGGAGCGCUGAUGUUGCUCUGAUUCGUGAAACUUUGAAUAAA